GUCAAUGAUGCAAUCCUUGUAGGAGGGAAUACCCUUGUCUCUUGCUCUUCAGAUACUACAGUCAAGAUUUGGGAUAGCUUUUCUGAUGGAACUUGCAAAAGAACUCUCCACCAACACACAGAUUAUGUUACUUGUCUUGCUUCCUCAGAAAAAAAAUAGCAAUAUUGUUGCAUCUGGUGGAUUGGGUGGGUGAGGUGUUCAUUUGGGAUCUUGAAGUUGUAGUUACUCCAGUCACCAAGAAUACUGAAACGCCAGCUGUCACUGAUUCUUCAAAUGGAAAUUCAGUGCCAGUUACAAGUCUACGUGCUGUAAGCUCAAGCAAUGGCAUUACAUCACUCACAAAUACACCUCAAGGAUAUGUUCCCAUUUCUUCUAAAGGACAUAAAGAGUCUGUUUAUGCAUUAGCAAUGAAUGAUACUGGAACUCUUUUGUUAUCUGGUGGCACAAA